GGGUUGUGAGGUUAAGCGACUAAGCGUACACGGUGGAUGCCCUGGCAGUCAGAGGCGAUGAAGGACGUGCUAAUCUGCGAUAAGCGUCGGUAAGGUGAUAUGAACCGUUAUAACCGGCGAUUUCCGAAUGGGGAAACCCAGUGUGUUUCGACACACUAUCAUUAACUGAAUCCAUAGGUUAAUGAGGCGAACCGGGGGAACUGAAACAUCUAAGUACCCCGAGGAAAAGAAAUCAACCGAGAUUCCCCCAGUAGCGGCGAGCGAACGGGGAGCAGCCCAGAGCCUGAAUCAGUGUGUGUGUUAGUGGAAGCGUCUGGAAAGGCGCGCGAUACAGGGUGACAGCCCCGUACACAAAAAUGCACAUACUGUGAGCUCGAUGAGUAGGGCGGGACACGUGGUAUCCUGUCUGAAUAUGGGGGGACCAUCCUCCAAGGCUAAAUACUCCUGACUGACCGAUAGUGAACCAGUACCGUGAGGGAAAGGCGAAAAGAACCCCGGCGAGGGGAGUGAAAAAGAACCUGAAACCGUGUACGUACAAGCAGUGGGAGCCUCUUUAUGGGGUGACUGCGUACCUUUUGUAUAAUGGGUCAGCGACUUAUAUUCUGUAGCAAGGUUAACCGAAUAGGGGAGCCGAAGGGAAACCGAGUCUUAACUGGGCGUUAAGUUGCAGGGUAUAGACCCGAAACCCGGUGAUCUAGCCAUGGGCAGGUUGAAGGUUGGGUAACACUAACUGGAGGACCGAACCGACUAAUGUUGAAAAAUUAGCGGAUGACUUGUGGCUGGGGGUGAAAGGCCAAUCAAACCGGGAGAUAGCUGGUUCUCCCCGAAAGCUAUUUAGGUAGCGCCUCGUGAAUUCAUCUCCGGGGGUAGAGCACUGUUUCGGCAAGGGGGUCAUCCCGACUUACCAACCCGAUGCAAACUGCGAAUACCGGAGAAUGUUAUCACGGGAGACACACGGCGGGUGCUAACGUCCGUCGUGAAGAGGGAAACAACCCAGACCGCCAGCUAAGGUCCCAAAGUCAUGGUUAAGUGGGAAACGAUGUGGGAAGGCCCAGACAGCCAGGAUGUUGGCUUAGAAGCAGCCAUCAUUUAAAGAAAGCGUAAUAGCUCACUGGUCGAGUCGGCCUGCGCGGAAGAUGUAACGGGGCUAAACCAUGCACCGAAGCUGCGGCAGCGACACUAUGUGUUGUUGGGUAGGGGAGCGUUCUGUAAGCCUGUGAAGGUGUGCUGUGAGGCAUGCUGGAGGUAUCAGAAGUGCGAAUGCUGACAUAAGUAACGAUAAAGCGGGUGAAAAGCCCGCUCGCCGGAAGACCAAGGGUUCCUGUCCAACGUUAAUCGGGGCAGGGUGAGUCGACCCCUAAGGCGAGGCCGAAAGGCGUAGUCGAUGGGAAACAGGUUAAUAUUCCUGUACUUGGUGUUACUGCGAAGGGGGGACGGAGAAGGCUAUGUUGGCCGGGCGACGGUUGUCCCGGUUUAAGCGUGUAGGCUGGUUUUCCAGGCAAAUCCGGAAAAUCAAGGCUGAGGCGUGAUGACGAGGCACUACGGUGCUGAAGCAACAAAUGCCCUGCUUCCAGGAAAAGCCUCUAAGCAUCAGGUAACAUCAAAUCGUACCCCAAACCGACACAGGUGGUCAGGUAGAGAAUACCAAGGCGCUUGAGAGAACUCGGGUGAAGGAACUAGGCAAAAUGGUGCCGUAACUUCGGGAGAAGGCACGCUGAUAUGUAGGUGAAGUCCCUCGCGGAUGGAGCUGAAAUCAGUCGAAGAUACCAGCUGGCUGCAACUGUUUAUUAAAAACACAGCACUGUGCAAACACGAAAGUGGACGUAUACGGUGUGACGCCUGCCCGGUGCCGGAAGGUUAAUUGAUGGGGUCAGCGCAAGCGAAGCUCUUGAUCGAAGCCCCGGUAAACGGCGGCCGUAACUAUAACGGUCCUAAGGUAGCGAAAUUCCUUGUCGGGUAAGUUCCGACCUGCACGAAUGGCGUAAUGAUGGCCAGGCUGUCUCCACCCGAGACUCAGUGAAAUUGAACUCGCUGUGAAGAUGCAGUGUACCCGCGGCAAGACGGAAAGACCCCGUGAACCUUUACUAUAGCUUGACACUGAACAUUGAGCCUUGAUGUGUAGGAUAGGUGGGAGGCUUAGAAGUGUGGACGCCAGUCUGCAUGGAGCCGACCUUGAAAUACCACCCUUUAAUGUUUGAUGUUCUAACGUGGACCCGUGAUCCGGGUUGCGGACAGUGUCUGGUGGGUAGUUUGACUGGGGCGGUCUCCUCCUAAAGAGUAACGGAGGAGCACGAAGGUUGGCUAAUCCUGGUCGGACAUCAGGAGGUUAGUGCAAUGGCAUAAGCCAGCUUGACUGCGAGCGUGACGGCGCGAGCAGGUGCGAAAGCAGGUCAUAGUGAUCCGGUGGUUCUGAAUGGAAGGGCCAUCGCUCAACGGAUAAAAGGUACUCCGGGGAUAACAGGCUGAUACCGCCCAAGAGUUCAUAUCGACGGCGGUGUUUGGCACCUCGAUGUCGGCUCAUCACAUCCUGGGGCUGAAGUAGGUCCCAAGGGUAUGGCUGUUCGCCAUUUAAAGUGGUACGCGAGCUGGGUUUAGAACGUCGUGAGACAGUUCGGUCCCUAUCUGCCGUGGGCGCUGGAGAACUGAGGGGGGCUGCUCCUAGUACGAGAGGACCGGAGUGGACGCAUCACUGGUGUUCGGGUUGUCAUGCCAAUGGCACUGCCCGGUAGCUAAAUGCGGAAGAGAUAAGUGCUGAAAGCAUCUAAGCACGAAACUUGCCCCGAGAUGAGUUCUCCCUGACCCUUUAAGGGUCCUGAAGGAACGUUGAAGACGACGACGUUGAUAGGCCGGGUGUGUAAGCGCAGCGAUGCGUUGAGCUAACCGGUACUAAUGAACCGUGAGGCUUAACCUUACAACGCCGAAGCUGUU
rnacentral:rRNA from 1 species